rfam:TPA: Bos taurus chromosome 7, whole genome shotgun sequence.
CCCUUGUGGUUCAAAUGGUAAAGAAUCCACCUGCAAUGUGGAAAACCUGGGUUCGAUCCCUGGAGAAAGGA